AGUGAACGCUGGCGGUAGGCCUAACACAUGCAAGUCGAACGGCAGCACAGUAAGAGCUUGCUCUUCCGGGUGGCGAGUGGCGGACGGGUGAGGAAUACAUCGGAACCUACUUUUUCGUGGGGGAUAACGUAGGGAAACUUACGCUAAUACCGCAUACGACCUACGGGUGAAAGCAGGGGAUCUUCGCACCUUGCGCGAUUGAAUGAGCCGAUGUCGGAUUAGCUAGUUGGGGGGGUAAAGGCCCACCAAGGCGAGGAUCCGUAGCUGGUCUGAGAGGAUGAUCAGCCACACUGGAGCUGAGACACGGUCCAGACUCCUACGGGAGGCAGCAGUGGGGAAUAUUGGACAAUGGGCGCAAGCCUGAUCCAGCCAUACCGCGUGUGUGAAGAAGGCCUUCGGGUUGUAAAGCCCUUUUGUUGGGAAAGAAAAGCAGCAGGUUAAUACCCCGCUGUUCUGACGGUACCCAAAGAAUAAGCACCGGCUAACUUCGUG
rnacentral:rRNA from 1 species